rnacentral:lncRNA from 1 species
AGCCGCUGGGGACCCCUGGCGGGGAAGCAGUCUACACUAGCCUAAGCGAGUGCUGAUUCACGGCCUCGCCCCAUAGCCUCUGGGCAGUUGGAAGGAAAGAAAAGGUCAAGGCCUUAGAUCUGGACUCUCUGAAACUGAAGUAACUGGUCAUGGUGGAGGGGUAGGGGAAAAACACGAAUAUAAAGUAGGCAGAAGAAGUACAGACACCGUAAAUCCAAACUGCCCAACCACCACCAUGGAAAAGAUGGAAAAGGUGAACCUGUCCUAGAGAUGGCCGCGUGAAUGAUGCAACCCUUGGACAACUGUCUAACACACACCCACCAUGGUUGCAGUCUCCAGUGAUGCACUUUAACAUCGGACUUAACUGGAUGAAAUCAUAGAAUGACACAUAUCCGCCCGGUAUAUUGCCUAUUUUCCCUAAAUGGUGUAGCUGCCUGCAGACUGACCCUGGGGGACUCCCUUCUUCCUCUCCAGUGAACUGGACCAACGCCUGCCUGAACGCACACCCGCUAUAGUUUUGACUGCGUAUUUUAUUUUCAUUGUGUUUUUAUGAGUUGUUUGGUUUGAAGUAGGGUCUUACACUUCUUAAGGUGACUCUAGACGAAGUUCUGGAAUUAUAGGCAUGCACCAACACAAUGGCCUUGACUGUAGAGUUUUGCUUCAUCCAUUCAACACGUUGAGCACCGGCCCAGUUCCAAUGACUUUGUACAUUAGCACACAACAAUACACAAAGCAGACAAAGCACUCGGCUCAAAAAAAAAAAAAAAAAAAAAAAAA